rnacentral:rRNA from 1 species
UAUAGGGGAGCCGGAGGGAAACCGAGUCUUAAUUGGGCGUUAAGUUGCAGGGUAUAGACCCGAAACCCGGUGAUCUAGCCAUGGGCAGGUUGAAGGUUGGGUAACACUAACUGGAGGACCGAACCGACUAAUGUUGAAAAAUUAGCGGAUGACCUGUGGCUGGGGGUGAAAGGCCAAUCAAACCGGGAGAUAGCUGGUUCUCCCCGAAAGCUAUUUAGGUAGCGCCUCGUGAAUUCAUCUCCGGGGGUAGAGCACUGUUUCGGCUAGGGGGCCAUCCCGGCUUACCAACCCGAUGCAAACUGCGAAUACCGGAGAAUGUUAUCACGGGAGACACACGGCGGGUGCUAACGUCCGUCGUGAAGAGGGAAACAACCCAGACCGCCAGCUAAGGUCCCAAAGUCAUGGUUAAGUGGGAAACGAUGUGGGAAGGCCCAGACAGCCAGGAUGUUGGCUUAGAAGCAGCCAUCAUUUAAAGAAAGCGUAAUAGCUCACUGGUCGAGUCGGCCUGCGCGGAAGAUGUAACGGGGCUAAACCAUGCACCGAAGCUGCGGCAGCGANNUGCUGGAGGUAUCAGAAGUGCGAAUGCUGACAUAAGUAACGAUAAAGCGGGUGAAAAGCCCGCUCGCCGGAAGACCAAGGGUUCCUGUCCAACGUUAAUCGGGGCAGGGUGAGUCGACCCCUAAGGCGAGGCCGAAAGGCGUAGUCGAUGGGAAACGGGUUAAUAUUCCCGUACUUGGUGUUACUGCGAAGGGGGGACGGAGAAGGCUAUGUUGGCCGGGCGACGGUUGUCCCGGUUUAAGCGUGUAGGUGUGUGUUCCAGGUAAAUCCGGUUCACUUUAACACUGAGGCGUGACGACGAGGCACUACGGUGCUGAAGCAACAAAUGCCCUGCUUCCAGGAAAAGCCUCUAAGCAUCAGGUAACAUCAAAUCGUACCCCAAACCGACACAGGUGGUCAGGUAGAGAAUACCAAGGCGCUUGAGAGAACUCGGGUGAA